rnacentral:lncRNA from 1 species
GUGGGAAAGAAAAUGUGAUAUGCCAGAAUUGAAGUUCAUGGUGAUAUAUCUAAAAUAAAAAGAGAAGAAGAUAAUCUAAAUAAUAUUUGUUGCUGUCUUAUUUCAUUUCAUUGUCAUUAUUUUAGAGUACAAAUAUAUAGCUAAAAAGUUCUUGAAAUUAUAAAAAGAAAAAAAAUCAAUUUAUUGGUUGGCAAGAAAUUAACGAAAUGACACCUUGUGAAAUGUUGUAGCAGAGUAUUUGUGUACUCUCUUGGCUCUGACACUAAAUGAAGAAUCAUGUGAGCGCAUAAUAUUUCCGCGACUGUACCGGAACACAUUUACACACUUUUGGAUUCAUGCACUUUGGUUUCAAACCAGGGGAGCACAUAAAUGUUGGACAAUGAGAAUGAUCAAGACAUCGAUAAAUCCCUGUAAUAAAAAAAGAGAAAAAAAGUGUAACUAAAAUGAGAUACUAUAUCGUGUAUGAAGUAAACAAGAAAUUUUUAAAUAGUUAGAAAUAGCUUACGUUCAGCCGCCUUUGUUGUAACUAGAAAUAGGGAAAGAAAGAUAAUCAUACUAUAAACAAAAUAGACAAUUUUAGC